UUAAAAAAUUAAACUUGCACUUGAAAGACCCCCAGAGUGGGGAGACCCUCACUCAAGUCUCGGGAUGACGCGACCCCCCAAGAACUCACAUGAGACC
rnacentral:pre_miRNA from 14 species